rnacentral:misc_RNA from 1 species
CAAUUGAUAAAAUUAUCAUCAUAAAGAGAGAGAAGUAGAGAUUUGGAAAUGACUGAUUGGAUUUGCAGAAAUUGAUCUUCAUAAGAACAGGCAGCAGCAGUGCCAAUGGGAGGAGAAGGGAAUGGCAUUUGGGGGAAAGCGUACCAGGAGGUCUCCAAUACCAAGCCUUUGUUCCUUACGAUUUAUGCCACCGUCCUCGUUGGAAUCCUCUUCUCUUCCUUCUACGUUUUCUCCGCUGUCUACUCCGCCUCCGAGUCCUCCUCUCUCUCCUCCACUGCCUGGCUUUCCUAUCCUCCCUCUUCUCUUUCUCAUGUCGAUCAAUCCCUCAACUUUUCUCAUCAAGCAACACCAGCUGUAGGUUCGAUUACAUCAACGCCACGGCCUCCCAACAGCUUACAGGUUAAAUCCAUUUGGGAAGUUCCUCAACACAAUUCGAAAAUGCCUCCUAUCAAGAAAUUUAGACUCACAAAACAACUGGUUGAGCGGGUCAAGGACAAUGUCAUUAUAGUUACCUUUGGUAAUUAUGCGUUUAUGGAUUUUAUCCUUACUUGGGUUAAGCACUUGACGGACUUGGGGC